UGCUUUUCGAAGUGUUCUGUAGGUAACCUAGGCAAGAAAACCAGCAGGCAGCGGGCGCAGUGGGAGCAGAGGCGGCGGGCGGCUGCGCCCCCACAAAGGCGCGUCUCUGGCCGAGGCUGGCGGCGGGGCGCCGCGGGCAAAGCUGAGGCUUUGACCUGGGCGCAGGCUGGAAACGCCCGCCUCAUCGUCGCUGGAUAUACCCACCACGUUACCCAGGCUGGGGCCAUCUGGGCAGGGACACCAGCCUCGGCGAAGACCUUGGGCGACUUCAAAGCGCAGGCACCUCGAUUCCCCGAAUCUAUGUUGUGUGGCGGGUAUCGGUGUUCCCCUGGUUUAACUAGCCUGUUUGAUGGGGAAACCAGGGCAUAGAAGUCAAGAAAUUUGCUCAAGAUCAUGAAAGGAAAAAAUGGUGGAGCCAGUAUGUGAACACAAGCUACCUUCCUCUACAGCUCAUGUUCUUGAAUCAUCAGUCAAUGAAGGCAAUGCACCUGGGGGGAGAGGGGAGUUAGCUUAGCAGUUGCUUAGCUGCUGCUGAUGAUGGGAGAGGAUCCUGAUCCUUCCUUGGGGUGGUUACCAUGGGUUACCAUGGCACAGCUUCCACAGAAGCUGCUCCCAUUUGGGAAACAUGUAUCAUUAUCUUAUUUCCUUGUUGAACAUUGUACUGUCAUGUUCCUACUUGUUCUCCUCCUCCACAUAGCUUCCUAGGUUUUUGUGGUUCCAUAAUUCUAGGGAAGAAAUGAUAGUGAGAAUCCCGAUGUGUUUUUCAGCAGAAAGCUAAUUUUCCAUCACCUAUAUGCAGGUGUUUCGUAGGAGCUUUAGGAGAAACUGCAUCUCCCCAGGUACCUGGCUUUCUAUGAGAACGAGAUUCAGUGCUUUGCAAGUCUUGUCUCAGCGAAGUGGCCCAUUUACUCUAUAUACCACAAAACCCCUGGAGACGUAAGAGCUUUCUUUUUGAGCUAGCCCACUUCCUAUGGACAGUUAUAUUAUGUAAGUAGGCAUUAUAUUAUUUGGUAUUUUACAGUCAAAGGAAGUUCAGAUUUUUUCCUCUCUUGGAAUGUUUUCCUUUUCUCCUGACAGAUCUGGGUAUUCAUUAAUGUUUUGGUUUACUUGAAUGCAAGAAAAUCACUUAUUAAAAUGUAUUUUUUUCUUUUUUAGGGCUGCACCGACGGCAUAUGGAAGU